AUCUCUCUCCUCAGGCAAAAAGUUUCUUGCAGAUCCAGCCUCCAGGAGCAGCAACUGAGCACAAAAGCUCCAAGAUGAAGGCUUUCUUCCUUCUCUUCCUCCUCUGCCUUGCGGCCGUGGUCGAGAUCCAGGCUGAAGAACCAAACACGGAAAAGUCCAUAACUUCCAAGUCAUCCUCCCAGAUGUUGCAUGGAUCCUACACCUGGAGCAUCCUCUUCUUUGCCGGGGUUCUCACCUACCUCCUUCGACUUCGCUGAGGCCUGGGACCAGGACUACAGAGAGCAUCAGUCCUGCCCCUGCUUGCUUACUCUUCAGCACCGGCCUCCUCCCUGAGGGCCCAUUCCUCAUGGCUCCCUCCCCGCCCCUAGCGGAGCAUCCCAUGGCCUUCUCAGGAGCUCUGAUGCUGCGGGUGGGGUUGAUUCCAUUCCACACUCAAGGGUUAAAAAGUUGAUAGGCUUGACUCAAUAAAGCUGUUAAAUCCCUGA